CCCUCCUCCAUAAAUGAGAACCUCUAAAUGAGUAAAGUAUCCAUAAAAGCAUCUUGCAUCAUAUUUAUGGAUACUUUACUCAUUUAGAGGUUCUCGUUUAUGGAUGAGGGACCCCCCA